GACUCGUCACACUAUCAUUAACUGAAUCCAUAGGUUAAUGAGGCGAACCGGGGGAACUGAAACAUCUAAGUACCCCGAGGAAAAGAAAUCAACCGAGAUUCCCCCAGUAGCGGCGAGCGAACGGGGAGGAGCCCAGAGCCUGAAUCAGCAUGUGUGUUAGUGGAAGCGUCUGGAAAGGCGCGCGAUACAGGGUGACAGCCCCGUACACAAAAGCGCAUGUGCUGUGAGCUCGAUGAGUAGGGCGGGACACGUGGUAUCCUGUCUGAAUAUGGGGGGACCAUCCUCCAAGGCUAAAUACUCCUGACUGACCGAUAGUGAACCAGUACCGUGAGGGAAAGGCGAAAAGAACCCCGGCGAGGGGAGUGAAAAAGAACCUGAAACCGUGUACGUACAAGCAGUGGGAGCACAGGUUUACCUGUGUG
rnacentral:rRNA from 1 species